rnacentral:rRNA from 1 species
UACGAAGGGGACUAGCGUUGUUCGGAAUCACUGGGCGUAAAGCGCACGUAGGCGGAUGUGUCAGUCAGGGGUGAAAUCCCGGGGCUCAACCUCGGAACUGCCUUUGAUACAGCACGUCUCGAGUCCGGAAGAGGUGGGUGGAAUUCCUAGUGUAGAGGUGAAAUUCGUAGAUAUUCGGAAGAACACCAGUGGCGAAGGCGGCUCACUGGUCCGGUACUGACGCUGAUGUGCGAAAGCGUGGGGAGCAAACAGG